rnacentral:sRNA from 1 species
UCUAAGGUCCUAGAGACUGAAGCACUCUGUUUACCUACAGAACAAGUACAAGAUAGGCUGUGACAGUGCAAAUAUCCCUCCACUGAUACACUUCAAAUAUGCUUCCUCUCUGUUUGGAAGGGAAAAAUGUAGGAAUGAGAACGAGUUUUGUUUCCAUUUCCAUUUGGUUCUUGGCCUUG